GAUGAACGCUGGCGGCGUGCUUAACACAUGCAAGUCGAACGGGAAUUACUUUAUUGAAACUUCGGUGGAUUUAAUUUAAUUCUAGUGGCGGACGGGUGAGUAACGCGUGGGUAACCUGCCUUGUACAGGGGGAUAACAGUCAGAAAUGACUGCUAAUACCGCAUAAGCGCACAGGACCGCAUGGUCCGGUGUGAAAAACUCCGGUGGUAUAAGAUGGACCCGCGUUGGAUUAGCUGGUUGGUGGGGUAACGGCCUACCAAGGCGACGAUCCAUAGCCGGCCUGAGAGGGUGAACGGCCACAUUGGGACUGAGACACGGCCCAGACUCCUACGGGAGGCAGCAGUGGGGAAUAUUGCACAAUGGGGGAAACCCUGAUGCAGCGACGCCGCGUGAAGGAAGAAGUAUCUCGGUAUGUAAACUUCUAUCAGCAGGGAAGAAAAUGACGGUACCUGACUAAGAAGCCCCGGCUAA
rnacentral:rRNA from 1 species